CCUACGUGUGGCAGCAGUCGAGAAUCAUUCACAAUGGGGGAAACCCUGAUGGUGCGACGCCGCGUGGGGGAAUGAAGGUCUUCGGAUUGUAAACCCCUGUCAUGUGGGAGCAAGUUAAAAAGAUAGUACCACAAGAGGAAGAGACGGCUAACUCGGUACCAGCAGCCGCGGUAAUACAGAGGUCUCAAGCGUUGUUCGGAAUCACUGGGCGUAAAGCGUGCGUAGGCUGUUUCGUAAGUCGUGUGUGAAAUGCGCGGGCUCAACCCGCGGACGGCACAGGAUACGGCGAGGCGAGAGUAAUGUAGGGGGAACCGGAAUUCUCGGUGUAGCAGUGGAAUGCGUAGAUAUCGAGAGGAACACUCGUGGCGAAGGCGGGUUUCUGGACAGUAACUGACGCUGAGGCACGAAGGCCAGGGGAGCGAACGGGAUUAGAUACCCGAGUAGUC
rnacentral:rRNA from 1 species